ensembl:lincRNA
CUCGGCCCAGGAUUCUCGUGUCCACUCACAAGCAGAGGUCACACUCAGGAGUCCUGUGCCUCUCUCCACUCCUUCCUCCCGUUGGCUUCCCGAGAGGCUUUAAUGCACCGGGCAGUGCACCCCGUCCACUCUCCUGUGCCACCCCUUGACCUCGAAUGGCCUUUUCCUCUGCCCGCUUCAGCUUCCACUCAGACCUCCACCGUGCACCCUGUAAAUCCAACCGGUUUACCAAAAGAAGGUAUCUACCUGCUCAGAAAGCAUGAAAAUGGACCUGCUGACUUACUGGGAAAGUCUCAGAGCUUGAUUUCCUUCCAGCCAGUUCUUAAGAAUGGAAUGGGAGCCAGGCAAGGUGGCACACACCUGUGAACCCAGCACUCAGGAGGCUGAAGCAGGAGGAUUGCUGUAACUUCGAGAUCAGCCUGAGCUACGAAAUGACUUUAAGACCAGAGCGAACUACACAGCAAGACCCUGUCUCAAAAAGACAAAAAAAAAGGAAAAUGAGGAAAAAAGCAAGAUCUAUCUUGUACAGGUACAAACUUCCCAUGAUGACUGUGAUCAUUAUCUAAAAUAUCUAAAUAGUAUCUAAAAAAAUCUAAAAUCAGCUUAAAAAGUAAGAAAAAUUAAAAACUCAAAAUUAGAAAGAAAAACGCCACACAGCUCAUUUCUAAUUGAAAUUCCCCACCUGAAGUGAGGCAUUUCUUCAGUGCCUUUGGAAUUUGGGUUCCAGGGUCAGCUGUAGCCUCUGAGUCAACUCGAUGUCACCUCAUCCAUGGUGACAGACCUCUGUAUGCCGGCCAGAAGUUCAACUUGUACUAACUAAGGAGGGAAAUUGUACAGCGUUUACAAGGGAUGAUGCUUACAGCACUUUAACCCGUGGUUCUUUUCAGCGCCUGGAACCAAACCUGGAGGGUGCUGCCCGCAUCCUGUGUUCUUUUUAUUUUGAGAUGGGUUUUGCUGAAUUGCCCAGGUCGACCUCCAAGUUGGAACCCUACCGCCUCAGCCUCCUGGUAAUUGGGAGACAAGCAUGCAUUCGUGUCCUGAUCCAGUGUGGUGUGGCGAGUGGGCCCCAGGAGGACCAGCCAACUCCUUAGGAGACAGGCACGGUGGUUCGGGCGGAACACAGUGGGGCGGAACUGAGUCGUGAGGCUUUGGGAACAGUGAGAAGAGAGAGGAACCACAGCUGCGCACCCGCAUCCAAGGAGCAAGCGGAGCCCACGAGUGAGCUCUAAUUCGCUGCCUGCUCACUGAAUGGGGGCGGGGGGGGGGGGACACAUAGAUUUCCUCUUAAAGCUUUCAGCCCACCCACAGAGACACCCUUUGUUUGUACCGGGAUUGAACUCAGGACCUUGCACUUGCCAGGCAGGUGCUUAGGCCCCUGAGCUAUGUCCCAGCCACAAAAACAUUUUAAAAAUCAUAAAAAUUUCAGAAAUCUAAAUUUGAUUCCUUUAUGUAUGUUUAUGUAAAGCAUCAGAUUUUGAAAUUUUUUAUAAAUUAUGAAAUGGGAAAUUGGAUGCAGAAGGGCGCAUUAAAUGUUUCCUUUUAAAACACAUAAAUAGAUAAAAAUUGCGGUUUUGGUGAGGACGCCGUGGUGUUCUCCAGAACAGCUCUGGGUUUAUGCACCGGGCCCCGACUUGUCCAGUGCCUCAGAGCCCGCCAGGUGGGGCCUCUGAGCCUCGAGGUGCUGCCCGGUGGAGAGCAGGACCCUGGUGUCCGGUGACGGCCAGGUGGUCGGUGAACAUUUCUCCACCCGCAGGGCUUCAGGGGAGGGACUCUCACUAUGACACUGGACAGAGACCAGUGCCUCACUCUUCCCUUCCAGAAAAAAUAACUGAGCAAUGAGUUUGAAUAAAUCACGACUUUGCAAUUUAUUCUGUCACCAUCUUCCAAAGCUGCCACCUUGUUUCCAUUAUGAGCAGCAUCCCCAUGAUACACUGACACAGAGUUGCUGGGGUUUCUGUUGGUUUUGCAGUGCCAGAGAGGAACCCAGGAUUUUCAGCGCUGUAGGCACACGAUAUCAUUGCUACUUUGUCUCCAUUUUUUUUUAACCCACAGGACUCCUGGUCGGUGGCUCUCAAAAGAUCCCGGGGGGGGGGGGACACUUAGCUCUGUGGAAAAGCAGUCAUGCUACAAACAGUUUUGGGGUCUCUCCUACCAGGGACAAAGAAUGUGUGAACAGAAUGACGAGAACAAAGGUGGGUGACUGCGGUGUGAAGCAUCACUAAAGAAUCAAUCACAUGGGCUGGGGAUUUAGCUCAGCGGCAUAAGCACCUGCCUUGUAAGCAGGCGGUUGUGAGUUCAAUCCCCGGUACCAAUAAAAAUGAAAAAGACAAAAAAAAAAAAAAGAGGGGCUGGGGAUUUAGCUCAGCGGCAUAAGCACCUGCCUUGCAAGCCUGUGGUCGUGAGUUCGAUCCCUGGUACCAAUUAAAACGAAAAAGACAAAAAAAAAAAAAAAAUCAGUCACAUGCAUAUAUAUGUGACUGACUGAUGGAUCAAUCGAUCGGCAUGCUGGGAUGGACCCAGGCCCUGUAGCACGUGCUAAGCCACCCCUCUGCACAGACCUAAACUGCAAGCCCAGCCCAC